ACCUCUGCCUCCCAUCAGGGGUGAAUAAGGCGGAAGCUGAGGGGACAGUCACAGCCAGGACAGGAAUGUCACCCCCAGCUGGCAGACAGCACUCUGAGCAGCCAGGCCUGGGAUCCUCUGACCUGCCCACUUCAGGAGGCCAGUGUGGUCACUGCCACCCCACGGUCUGGGGACCCUGGACUCCAAACUUGUAAGUGCUAGAGUGGGCAGCUGGAGGCCAUCUGGGCACUUUAAAACACAGAAGCCAGCUUCCUGGCAGUUUGAAGUGUGCUUCUCACACAUCUUCCACCAGCUUGUUUGUCUGCCUAUAUCUGAGGAUCCUUUAAAGCGAUUGAAACAAAAUUAAGGGCAGAAUGAAUCUUUGGUGAUGAAAGUGAGAAUCUGGGAGAGAUGUGAAAACUGGAAGAGAAACAGGAAGUACCUCCAGGAUUCACCUAAAUAGAUGCUGCGGUUUCUAUCAAACCACAGGCCACCCCAGCAUCUCAGUGGCUUCUAUAGGUUGUCCUGAAAGAGCCAUGAGGCCAGGGCCCUUGAUGGAUUCCCAGAUACCAGCUGCUCCUCCAGACACCAAUUCCACCCUCCACCUUUCUGUGUCCGUCCCAGACCAAGGCAGCCCAGGAAACUCUCUAGGAGGUGUGUCUCCAGGAUAGAGGGCCAGUGGAGAAUGGCAGCCCACACUGUUAUGGGAUGAAGUGUGUCCCCCAAAAUCAACAUGUUGAAGCUCUAACCCCCAGAACCCCGGAAUAAAACUAUAUUUGGAGUUAAGAUCUUUAAAGAGGUAAUUAUGUCCUAAUGAGUUAUUUAGGGCAGACCCUAAUCCAAUAGGACUGGUAUCCUUCUAAGAAGAGGAAGGCACAUCAGAGGAGAGGCCAUGUGAGGACACCAUGGGAAGGCGGCCACCUGCAAGCCAAGGAGAGGGGCCUCAGGAGAAACCAGCCCUGCUGACACCCUGAGCUCCUUGCAAUUCCAGCCUCCUAGACUGUGAGAAAAUACACUUGUGUUAUUUAAGCCCCCCAGUCUGUGGUUCUUUGCUGUGGCAGCCCUAAGAAUCUAAUACACAUGCCAACCUGUCUAGGCACAGAUGGCCCAUCUUCAGGGAAAGGAUGCAGGGGGAUCUGCAGGCCUGCCGGGGCUGAACCAGGAAGUUGUGCCCUCAGCAGUGGAGGCAGCCUCUCCCAACCCCAAGCCUCCAGCCCCUCCCCUCGUGACAUGCAUGUUCUGAGUUCAGUCUGUUUCCAAGCUCCUUCCCGUGCCUGUGGAGUCAAUGUCACCCCCAGUCUCAGGGUAUCCUUGCACUGAUACGCUCCACUACACCCUCACACCCACCCCGUGGCUUCCUGAACUGCACCCCCAAGUGAACCACUCUGCAUCUGGCUUCUCCAUCAACCACGUGCCCUGGAGUCCCUCUGAGCUGUCCAUGUGGGCAGCCUCCUUUUGAAGCCUGGAGUGGGUGAGUGUUGAGCAAAAGGUGAUGGCAGGGGCUAGAGCUCAUUUCAUUCCUGAGUAAGGGAAGCUCUAAGAUUCCUUCUGUACCAUAAGUGAGUGCUGCCCUGCCUGGGAGGGUGCACACCCUGCCCUGAGACUACUGCCUCAGAGCAUGGGCAGCUGGUCAACCUAGGCAUUGCCCAUGCCUCCCACAUGGGUGGGGGGCAGCCCCACCGCCCCUCUGUUCAUCUUCCAUUGACCUGUGGAGUCUCAGAGAUCUGUCUUGAUUUUUUUUAGACAGUCUUGCUCUGUCACCCUGGAGUACAGCGGUGCAAUCUCUGCUCAUUGCAACCUCUUCCUCCCAGGUUCAAGUGAUUAUCGUGCGCCAGCCUUCCAAUUAGCUGGGAUCACAAGCAUGCACCACCAUGCCCUGCUAAUUUUUGUAUUUUUAGUAGAGACAGGGUUUCGCCAUGUUGGCCAGGGUGGUCUCAAACUCCUAACCUCAAGUGAUCCACCUGCCUCGGCCUCCCAAAGUGCUGGGAUUGCAGGUGUGAGCCACCACACCCAACCUGUCUUGAUUUAAUAGUCAUUCAAGGUGCUCAUUUCUUGACUGAAUGACUACAAGAGCAGAUAUAAAUGAACACAUGCAAUCAGUCUUGCCCUGGGUCUGAAGUAGGAUUCUCAGCACCAGCGACAUUUGCACUGGAUCAUUCUCUGCGGUGGCACUAGCCUCUGCCCUGCAGGACGUUUAGCAGUACCCCUGGACCCCACCCACUAGACGCCAGCAACAGUUCCCUGCCCCAGUUGUGACAACCAAAAAUGUCCUCGGACAUUACUCCAAGCACCAAGGUUGGGAACCGCUGUUCUCAAGGUUUCCAAAUGCAUCUCACGCCAUAGGUCUAUGCACAGAAUAAAUGAAUCAUUCACUGUUGACCAAUGAAGGCUUUGUUUGGAGACAGGUGUUAUAACAGCAGGAAGAAAACUCCCCAAAGGAAAAGUGUGCUAUCAGCUGAAGCAUCUCCCAAGUCCAGCUCUGCACCCCCACGUGCAUCCCCACACGAACGUGUUGCCAGGAAUCAACCGAACCCCUGUUUCUCUCGCAGAAAAUUGGUGGGAGCAAUCCUCGCUUGCGUGUCAGGAUGCCUGUCCAGGUGAAGCCAGCAUGAGUCUCUCCAGAUUCUAAGGCAGUGAUGGGAAAGUGAAGGAAGCAGAAAUGGCCAAGGGCCAUCCUCUGUCAGUAAUUCACUCUGUCAGCCCUCCCUAAGCCGGGUGGUGGGUGUUAUGCAUCAGGACGCCGGGCUCUGGUGGGGUAAUGAGAGGGACUCAUAAGUGGCCAAGCUGUGACUCAAACCUGGCAGGACUCCCACUGGCUUCACUCUGCCCUCUUAAAUUCUACAAUUAGAGCUCCCCAGGAGAGAGCAACCCAUUGACUUAAAUGUUCACUCACCUGUAAACAGGUGACAUGAGAUUUUCUCCCAUUCGUGGGUUUCCUGAUGUCAGGAUGGAGCACAGAGCAGGGGCCGUCGGGCACCUAUAGGCUGAAGGGAACCCUGGGUAGAGGAUAGUGUACGUUUGUUUCAUGAUGUUGCCAGGAGCUGGCCCUUUGCUGUAAACCAGGUCCUGUUUUGAGCGUGCUGGGAAGUUCAGAAGCAGAGUUCCAUAGACACUUCUGAGAUGCACAGGCACCUCUCCUGCCUAAUGUGGCCAGGAAAAAUUGCCCUGAUAAAGCCAAUGACAUCAUAGAUUAGAACCUGAGGAACCCGCAGCCUAGUAGUUCCCGAUCUUGCUGCCUAUUAACAUCACGGGGACGCCUUUCAGAGCUCCCCAGGUGAUGUUAAUGGCAGCAAAAUCAAGAACCACUGUGAAUAGGCAGCAAUCGAUGUCCAGGCCACUCCCCACCAACUAAAUCAGGGUCUCCAGGAUGGGCUCAUGCCUCCACGGUUCCUGGUUCCCCAGGUGCAACUGCGACCUCCCUCAGUGAUCCAGUGUGGGCUUCUCACACUUUAAUGCACAUCUGAACGAAUCGGGGCUCUUGUGAAAAUUUGAAUUCUGGCUCAAGAGGCUGGGAUGAGCCUGAGAUUCUGCUAGGAGCUAGGAAAAGUGUGAUCCAGAGCUAGGAAAAGUGUGAUCUUGGAUGCUUGUCAUCUGGGAGCUUGUUAGAGGUGCAGGAUCUCAGGCCCCACCCAGAACCUAAGGAUCAGAAUCUACAUUUGAAUAAGGUGCAGGUUUGUUGAAUAUACGUCCCUAGUUUGAGACAACCUGCUACAACCUGAAGCCUCUAUUUGCUCAUGAGCAAGUGAGGGCCAGAGAGAUGGAGCCCUGGACCCCACAGCUACUCAAUGCAAAAAGCUUUAGUAACUGUGCUUGCUGUAACCCACGCGUCUUCUUCCCACCAUUGCUAGCCUCACUAAAGAUUGCAUUUGUUUCUCUGACAAUGAUGACUUCAGGCAAUGUAUAAAACUUGCUCCUCCUGUUAACAUUUAAUUCAGGCGUGAAACCAAACAAACCCAAAAAUGGAGGAAGGAAAGAGAAGAAAUGGGGCUAAAAAAGAUCUAAAAAUGGGACAGAAGCAAGGUGCCUUUUUCAUCUUCUCUUUGAUUAAAAAAGGUCUGUUAGCUCGAAGCCCACAGGUAUGUGACUCAGUGCAGACGAGGGGAAACUCCGUGGGAAGUUUUGGAUCUUUCCUAUUAGAAGAAUCAGGAAUUUAGCCCAGCUCAGGGAAAACAUAUGAGCUUCCUUUGACUCUCCCAGGAUGAGCUAGUUUCAGUAUCAUGGUGAAAAAAUAAAAUAAUACAAAGGCGUUCACCAAAAGGAAGUGCUGUUUCCUCUAUUUCUGAACCCUCAGAGAGCUAAAAUGAUGCUGAUGAGUCAGAAGCUAGCGCCCCUGAAGGAGCCACCAAAGGAAGAUACUGAGCUUUUAAUGUUUCCUUAAAGGGCAGCCCUAACCCCUCCCAGUGCGGAGCUGAUUUUUGGAAAUAGCCAGAAGUGGUUUCAAGUCACAUCAGGUGAUUGAGGUGGGUGACCAAACUCAGCACGAUGUUAGAAACAAAUCCAAAUGUGACAAUAAGUGGCACUCCUUGUUUAUUUAUUUUGAGACAGUGGUCUCGCUCUGUCACCCCCCUGGAGUGCAGUGGCAUGAUCAUGGCUCACUGCAGCCUCCACGUCCCAGGCUCAAGCCAUCCUCCCACCUCAGUUUCCCAAGUAACUGGGACUAUAGGCAUGUGCCACCAUGCCCAGCUAAUUUUUUUAUUAUUUAUUUUUUGUAGAGACGAGGUCUCACUAUGCCGCCCAGGCUGGUCUCAAACUCCUAGAUUCAAGUGAUCCUCCCACCUCGGCCUCCCAAAGUGCUGGGAUUACAGGCAUGGGCCACUGCACCGGCCCUGGUUUCUUCAUGUGGGAUGUCACCCGGCUCUAAAAGGCAGUUUCUUAUAAAAGUCCCAGCUGCAGCUUGAGCAGGAAUAGCUGCAUGGACAACAGAGUGGAGCUUCUCAACCUCCUUUGAAGGGCAAAAGUGGGUCUGAUGGGCUGUUCGAAGCGGGUCCCUGAGGGUCGCAUUCCUUGCAUCCAACUCCCACCUCCUUCCUUCCUUCCCCUCCCUCCCUCGUCUUUCUUUCUUUCUUUCCUUCUUUUCUUUCUUUCUUUCUUCUUUCUUUCUCUCUCUCUCUGUCUCUCUCUCUUUCUUUUUCUUAACAAGCUCAGGCAAAUUUUAUUAAAGGAAAAUUUUGCAUGGUUUGCUUUUCACCAAUCUGUUCUGGCAUGCUUCUAAUGAUGUCAGAAUCACCUAGAUCAAUGAUAGCCGGUGUGCCCACUCUGUAAUAUUUUCCGCAUGCUGUGCCCAGUUCAAUAUUAUUGCCACCGUAGUGAUGGACACCAGUUUUGGCCAACAUUCCAUAGCUGGGUGGUUGUUAGUGAGAAUGAUCAAUUUUGCUUUGCCUUGUCUAAUCAUCUUCAGAGUCUGCUUGUACCCCAGCUCAUACUUUCCACUUUUCAUAAUGAGUUGGAACCUACAGUUGAUCGACUCCAGGAGCUUUUUCUUCUUCUUUGCAGCCACCAAAUUCCCGCCUUAGCUGCAGGACGGACCCCAACCAAGAGCAGCCGCUAAGAUGGCCGGGGAGUGAGAAAAGCCUCAUUUCUUUAAUAAAGCUGCUGCGCUCAGCCUUGAACACCCUCCCGACCUUGGGGCUCUGCUGCCCCACGCGGAGCCCCCAUUUCAACAGAUGCAGACACCCCAAAGCCCCUUCCCAACAGCCCGAAGAGAAGCCCUCCUCUGAAGAGACAGCAGAGAAGCAGAGCCCCCUGGGACGCCCCCCAAGACCUCCACGUCUCCCCAGCACCCGGCGGGGGGGUGGUGCAUGCACUUCCCGUGGCUGCGGGAACAAACUGCCACACACAGGGAGGCUGAACACAGCAGAAGUCUAUUCCACACAGUCCUAGAAGCCAGAGGCAGUGACAUCAAGGUGCUGGACGGCCGCCCUCCCAUCGGAGGCUCUGGGAAGAAUCUGUUCCUUCCUCUUCCAGCUUCCACGACUCAGGGCAGCACCCCUGUAACCUCUGCCUCCAUGGUGAUAUCGCUUCCCCUCUUCUGUGUCAAAUGUCCCCCUGCGUCCCUCUUCACCAGAAUAAUCCCCUCAUCUCAAGUGCCUUAAUUUAAUCACACCUGCAAAGUGUUUGCCGCGUAAAGUAACAAUUACAGUUUCCAGAGAUUAAAACCUGUUAUGUUUGGAGGCCAUUAUUCUACCUACAGAGAGGGGUUGGCUUAGGACACCCAUUCUUGUUGCCGGGUAAAGCUGCCCGGGGGGCCUGGAGGAAGCCUGCUCUGUCUCUUUCAGCCCCCACAGGUACCCCAAGGGGGCCGCCACUGAGGUCCUCGGGCUCUGAUCCAAGUGUGAAGUGAGAGCAAGUUCACUCCUUUCCCUGCUGGCUCUGACACAAGUUUUCCGUGUGGCCAGGGAUGGGUGUGAGCAGCCCAGAGCAGGGGCCGGCCCA
rnacentral:lncRNA from 1 species